UAUUACUACUACCCAAAAAACAUAUAUUUCAACCACAACUGCUGAGAAAACAAAUCAAACUACAACAGGCUGGCAAGAAGAACUUUCAACACUAACUACAAUAGGGAGUGUUUAGUUGUUCCCAGGCUGUUGAUUUAAAUGAAAGUGUACGCCUUACUAACCAUUCCCAGAGAGACAUAAACACAAAUAAAGUCGAACCAAAUCAAGCAAACUAUGCCAAUGGCAUUUUUGUUUUUCAACCCCCCACCUAUGACCUCUAUUUAGAGUUAUCAGAUGAUUUUAGUCUACAAGUACGAAUUGAUAACUAUAAUGAUGCAGACCAGAUAAACAUUAUUUGGUUUACAGAACCAAUAAAGCAAUAAUCGAUAGCAAUAAAGAUGUAUUUGAUGUAGAUUACUCAUACAACUGUAUGCAGUAUUCUGGCCCGUUUUUAACCAUUGCUUCACUGCAUGGAAAUCAUACAUAUACUUUUUGUAUGAUGCCGACAGAUAACGUAGUUAUUUCCCCGCUCUUUUGUCAACCACUCUAUGUACCUAUGGUUGGAGAGAAAACUCAUAAUGCGACGGAUUCUAUUCAAAACACUAGCAAUAAUAAGCAGUUUUCGGUCGCCAUGCUGGUCUUAAUUCUUUUUGUUUCCACAAUUUUUGGAGCAAUAAUUUCAUAUCUUGGUAUCAAAGCCUACCCGGAUCUUUUAGAGGGCUCAAAGAACGUAUUAAUAAUUAAAAAAUUGGAUAAAACAUGCUAUAUAUCAACAAUAACAGAAUCCGAAUACACAAUAGAUGAAACAAAAAGAAAAUACUUUGGUGCAAAAAUUUUAAAUGAUACUCAGCAUCCUUUUUCAGAAGACACAGUUGUGGAUACUAGAAGUGUUCUAGGCAAGGUUUAUAGAGUAGACGAGUAUGAAAUGCCUAAAGAACUGGAUUUUUCAAUAAAAGAGUAUAGUGAACUCAGUUAUGGAAGUACCCUCACUAUUCCCCCACCAUUACCAAAGCGUAAUUCUAAUAAUUUAAUAUUCAAUUAAAACAAGAAAUAAUAAAAGUUCA
rnacentral:sRNA from 1 species